UACGUAGGCAGCAAGCGUUGUUCGGAAUUACUGGGCGUAAAGAGUGUGUAGGCGGUGCUCUAAGUUUGGUGUGAAAUCUCCCGGCUCAACUGGGAGGGUGCGCCGAAAACUGGAAUGCUUGAACGUGGGAGAGGAAAGCGGAAUUCCUGGUGUAGCGGUGAAAUGCGUAGAUAUCGGGAGGAACACCGGUGGCGAAGGCGGCGAUCUGGGUAGAUACUGACGCUGAGGUGCGAAAGCGUGGGGAGCAAACAGG
rnacentral:rRNA from 1 species